rnacentral:rRNA from 1 species
GUGAGGAAUAUUGGUCAAUGGACGGAAGUCUGAACCAGCCAAGUAGCGUGCAGGAUGACGGCCCUAUGGGUUGUAAACUGCUUUUAUGCGGGGGUAAAGUGAGUGACGUGUCAUUCAUUGCAGGUACCGCAAGAAUAAGGACCGGCUAAUUCCGUGCCAGCAGCCGCGGUAAUACGGAAGGUCCUGGUGUUAUCCGGAUUUAUUGGGUUUAAAGGGAGCGUAGGCCGUCAGGCAAGCGUGUUGUGAAAUGUCGUGGCUCAACCAUGGACUUGCAGCGCGAACUGCCCGACUUGAGUGCGCAGAAAGCAGGCGGAAUUUGUGGUGUAGCGGUGAAAUGCUUAGAUAUCACGAAGAACCCCGAUUGCGAAGGCAGCCUGCUGUAGCGCUACUGACGCUGAAGCUCGAAAGUGCGGGUAUCGAACAGGAUUAGAAACCCGUGUAGUCC